UACGAAGGGUGCAAGCGUUGCUCGGAAUUAUUGGGCGUAAAGGGUUGGUAGGUGGUCUUGUUUGUCUAAGGUGAAAUCCCUCGGCUUAACCGGGGAACUGCGUCUGAUACUGGAUGGCUUGAGUGUGGGAGAGGGAUGCGGAAUUCCAGGUGUAGCGGUGAAAUGCGUAGAUAUCUGGAGGAACACCGGGGGCGAAGGCGGCAUCCUGGGCCACGACUGACGCUGAGUGAGCGAAAGCCAGGGGAGCAAACGGG
rnacentral:rRNA from 1 species